rnacentral:lncRNA from 1 species
CCUCGCCUGCGCAGCCUCUACGUCAUCCUGGAGGCGCGCAACUGCUGCAGCACGGAGCAGCGCGACGCCCACGCAGAUGUUGUCGGAAUGGACAGAGGACCUGGUGUUAGCAGCAGGAAAGGCAGGAGGUGCAGGUGUUCGGCAGGAAAGCAGUCGCGCUGGCGGCUUGGUGGGCAUUGACCUCCCAGGCGGUCUUGGCUUAAACGGAGGUGAGCAGCUCAGCAGCACCACGAACCCAUGUGCGUUCGCGCUGCUUGAAAGGCGACCGUGCAUCGGGGAUAGCGAACGGCAACAAGUCACGUGAUUUCGGCAUCCGGGAGCGGAGAAGCUUACAACAAGCGGCGGGUUGAUGCAAGUCGUAGUGAACCAAGCCGAGCACACAGCCUUUUGUAAGUGGGGCGGUGAUUCGCCGGAUGGCUCGGCAGGUUCCCAAAGCUGCCGCGAGUCCAGGAUGCUGUUCGGUUCUUCAGUGCUGUGGUGAUGCGGUGAGCGUUUUGGCUGUCGAGGAAGCCGCCGCUCCUUCGGCUUGAGAAGCGGGAUUCGCAGCUGCAGUAGCCGAUCACCCUCACGUGCAGCGGCCUCGAUGAAUGCGGCGAACUGGAUUCCGGUAGCUAAUUGCACUGCGUCAGCGCGAUGAUGAUGCGCUAACGCGGAUGUUAUUCGUAGCUGUGAACGCCUAGGUAGCCUUUGGUGGUUCUGCACAGGUAGUUGCGGGAUAGGACCAAUCAUAGAAGCUCCAGGUUCUCCCAGCUUCACAUGAAGGCGCGUCUGAUGUUCUCGUUCCCGGUGCAUCUGUGCAGAGCCUGCGGCAACGUGGGCGCGUCUUGCCAUUCGGCUAUGUUCAGGCGUUGGCGAUCCUCUGGCCAUGGCAAUCUUGGUUUCCCUCGAUGUGUUGGUGUGCGAGCACAGAGAAACAGGAAGCACUUCUUGUCCGUCUCGAACGAUUGCUGACGCUCGAAAAUGGCGAUUCGAUGAACGAGCAUCAGAUUCACGAGGACACGCGAGAGCGUUUCUAUCUCAUCGUGGAAUGGCGCGUGUUCGGCUGUGAAGUAAAGAAAAAGAAGUGGCUUCGCAAACUG